GAUGGCGACCGGCGCACGGGUGCGUAACGCGUAUGCAACUUACCCUGUACAGGGGGAUAGCCCGGGGAAACCCGGAUUAAUACCCCAUAGUAUUAUCGAAUGGCAUCGUUUGAUAAUUAAAAUUUCGAUGGUACAGGAUGGGCAUGCGUCCCAUUAGUUAGUUGGUGAGGUAACGGCUCACCAAGACGAUGAUGGGUAGGGGUUCUGAGAGGAUGAUCCCCCACACUGGUACUGAGACACGGACCAGACUCCUACGGGAGGCAGCAGUAGGGAAUAUUGGUCAAUGGGCGAGAGCCUGAACCAGCCAUGCCGCGUGCAGGAAGACGGCCUUAUGGGUUGUAAACUGCUUUUCUACGGGAAGAAAAGACCUAUGCGUAGGGCAUUGACGGUACCGUAGGAAUAAGCACCGGCUAACUCCGUGCCAGCAGCCGCGGUAAUACGGAGGGUGCAAGCGUUGUCCGGAUUUAUUGGGUUUAAAGGGUGCGUAGGCGGCUUUAUAAGUCAGUGGUGAAAAGCUACAGCUCAACUGUAGUCGUGCCAUUGAAACUGUAAAGCUUGAGUAUAUUUGAGGUAGGCGGAAUUUAUGGUGUAGCGGUGAAAUGCAUAGAUACCAUAAAGAACACCGAUAGCGUAGGCAGCUUACUAAGAUAUAACUGACGCUGAGGCACGAAAGCGUGGGGAGCGAACAGGAUUAGAUACCCUGGUAGUCCACGCUGUAAACGAUGAUUACUCGGUUUUGGCUCGCAUGAGUCAGAGCCCAAGCGAAAGCGAUAAGUAAUCCACCUGGGGAGUACGC
rnacentral:rRNA from 1 species